AUAAUACUAAUGGUAUAAUAUAAUAAAAACAAUAACAUUAAAAAAAAUUAAAUAGUAAAACAGUAAAAAAAUGGACUAGAUUGAAUUAAAGAUGAAAAAAUAGAGUGGAUUUGAAAAUAGACAAAAAAAAACCGAUUUGAAUGCGCUAGCAAUGACGGAGGACCAAAAGGGAAAUUAUUCCCGCCUUCCUAAACGCUGCGCAACAUGGGACCGAAUUGAAACAAAAUUAAAAUGGGUGGCUAAAUUUAAAAAAAAACAAUAAUUGGGUUUGAUUGAAACGCGACGCAAGAAAAAGGGACUGAAAACGCAAAUCUCCCAUCUAAAGGAAAAGCGCGGACCCUGGGACCGGGU
rnacentral:lncRNA from 1 species